UCCAAAAUCCUUCUUCUUAAUUUUUUAGGGUUGCUGACCACCACUCUCAAUUUCACAAACUCAAACCCUAGUAGCUUCACAUUUCUUCACAUUUCCUGACCACUUUCAACCCUCACAAUAUUGAAAAUGAAAAAUAAGAGGGAUUUAGGGUAAGAGUACCUGUGACUAUCGGGCUUCACGUUUCCUCUUCUUCUUCAACAUGAACGGCUGCCACCUACCACUCCGACCAAAUCUCGCCGCUGUGAUUCGUUUGCAUAUCGAUUCCUCUGUCUCAAUCGAUCCCUCUCUGUUCUCUCAAUCUUGAAGCCUCUGAUCUCAUCUCCGAUUCUUUUCUCGACAUCACUCGCUCCUCAUCUCCGCUUGCUCUCUCAUCAUGAACGGCUCGCGACGGAGAAAUCGUUGUUCUAGCGAGUAGGUUUCUUUCCGAAUUCGCAGACGCUAAUGGCGAAGCCAAGUACCUCAACAUCCUGCAAGAUGUUGCGAACCACAAAGCUCGAUCUGUUGAAAUUGAUCUCGACGACUUAAUGAACGUUAG